GACGAACGCUGGCGGCGUGCUUAACACAUGCAAGUCGAACGGAAAGGCCCUGCUUUUGUGGGGUGCUCGAGUGGCGAACGGGUGAGUAACACGUGAGUAACCUGCCCUUGACUUUGGGAUAACUUCAGGAAACUGGGGCUAAUACCGGAUAGGAGCUCCUGCUGCAUGGUGGGGGUUGGAAAGUUUCGGCGGUUGGGGAUGGACUCGCGGCUUAUCAGCUUGUUGGUGGGGUAGUGGCUUACCAAGGCUUUGACGGGUAGCCGGCCUGAGAGGGUGACCGGCCACAUUGGGACUGAGAUACGGCCCAGACUCCUACGGGAGGCAGCAGUGGGGAAUAUGGCACAAGGGGCGGAAGCCUGAUGCAGCAACGCCGCGUGCGGGAUGACGGCCUUCGGGUGGUAAACCGCUUUCGCCUGUGACGAAGCGUGAGGGACGGGAAUGGGGAAAGAAGCACCGGCGAACUACGG
rnacentral:rRNA from 1 species